rnacentral:rRNA from 1 species
UACGAGUGGGGCUAGCGUUGCUCGGAAUCACUGGGCGUAAAGCGCACGCAGGCGGAUCGAUAAGUCGGGGGUGAAAGCCCGGGGCUCAACCUCGGAAUUGCCUUCGAUACUGUCGGUCUCGAGUCCGGGAGAGGUGAGUGGAAUUCCUAGUGUAGAGGUGAAAUUCGUAGAUAUUAGGAAGAAAACAAGUGGCGAAGGCGGCUCACUGGCCCGGUACUGACGCUCAGGUGCGAAAGCGUGGGGAGCAAACAGG